rnacentral:rRNA from 1 species
AUGACGGCGACGCACGAUAUGUUGGAGCAGAUGUCGUAUCUGUGCGUGAGCGUGGUAAAGGCGCGGGACCUGCCUACCAUGGACAUGACCGGCGCGCUGGACCCGUACGUGGAGGUGAAACUAGGUGACCUCAAGGGCGUGACGCGGCACCUGGAGAAGAACGCUAACCCGGUGUGGCGGCAGAUGUUCGCCUUCUCGGCCGCCCAUCUGCAGUUCGACCAGCUGCAGAUUAUCGUUAAGCACAAGGACGUGCUCCGAGACGACUUGGUCGGCCGCGUCGUCUUCGACGUGGCCGACAUCCCGCGCCUCUCGCCUAACAGCCGGCUGGCACCGCAGUGGUACCACCUUUCCGAUGCCAACGGCAAGAGGUUUCCGAAUAGACAUAGCCUGGGCGAAAUCAUGCUCGCUGUUUGGCUCGGCACGCAGGCCGACGAGGCCUUCAUGGAUGCGCACGCCCUCUCCCUGGAGGGGCUCACCAACACGCGCUCCCAGGUGUACUACUCCCCCAAGCUCAUCUACCUCAGGGUCUCCGUCAUCGCGGCGCAGGACCUCAUGGGCACUAAGAAGGAUCAACCACUAGGGCCGACCAUCGCCAAGAUCCAGAUGGGCAGCCAGAUAAUGCGGACGCGGCCGGGGCAGCCGCAGGGGUCGGCGAACCCGGCCUGGAACGAGGAGUUCAUGUGCGUCGUCAGCGAGCCAUUCGAGGACCCGCUUGUGGUGACCGUGGAGGAGAAGGUCGGCACCGGGAGGGACGAGCCCAUCGGCCGCAUCAUCAUCCCCAUGGCGUCCCCGUACGUGGAGCGCAACGACCUGUUUAUGCCGGUGCCGUCCAAGUGGUUCAGCCUCUCGCGUGGGAUGACCGGGAGCAAGAUCCUGCUCAGGAUGAGCCUGGACACGGGGUACCACGUGAUGGACGAGCCGCCGGAGUACAUGAGCGACCUGCAUCCGGCGUUGUUGAAGAAACUCCGCAAGAGCGCCAUUGGCAUCCUGAAGGUGGAGAUCCUGGGCGCUCGUGACCUGGCCGUGGGCGUGGAGAACCCGUACGUCGUCGCCAAGUACGGCAAGAAGUGGGUGCGCACACGCACUCUCCUCAACACCACCGCGCCGCAGUGGAACGAGCAGCACACCUGGGAUGUGUUCGACGUCGGCACCGUCAUCACCGUCGCAGUCUUCAACGACUCCCACGGCGCUGCCAAUGACCAGAGGAUCGGCAAGGUGCGCGUUCGCGUCGCCACCCUCGAGACGGAUCGCAUGUACACCCAGUACUAUCCUCUCGUGGUGCUUACCCCGUCCGGGCUGAAGAAGAUGGGGCAGCUCCAUCUUGCAGUCCGCUUCACCUGCAAGUCUUGGCCCAAAAUGCUGGCAAUGUACGGCAAACCACUGCUUCCCGAAUUGCACCACACCAACCCCAUCUCCGCGCCGCAGAUGGACUACCUCCGGUUUAAGGCCAUGGAGAUGGUGGCCUCGCGGUUGGGCAGGGCCCAGCCGCCACUGCGGAGGGAGGUGGUGGAGUACAUGCUCGACUUCGACAACCGCACCUACAUGUUCAGCCUGCGACGGAGCAAGGCCAACUUCUACCGGUUCAUGGUCCUCUUCUCACCCAUCAUGGCCAUGUGGAAGUGGUUUGACGACGUCUGCAAGUGGAAGAAUCCGGUGACGACGAUUCUGGUGAACGUGGUAUACCUGAACCUGGUGUGCUACCCGAAGCUAAUCCUGCCCAUGGUAUUCCUGUGCUUCAUCAUGAUCGUUGCGAGGAACUACCGGCAGCGGCCGCGGAAUCUGCCGCACAUGGAUGCGGUGCUGUCACACGCGGAGAUCGCACACCCGGACGAGCUGGACGAGGAGUUCGACACGUUUCCCGCGUCCAGGCCGGCUGACCUCGUGCGGAUGAGGUAUGAUCGACUACGGUGCAUCGCCGGCAGGGUGCAGACGGUGGCAGCGGACCUUGCUUUGCAGGGAGAGCGCCUGCUGUUCCUGCCCCGCUGGCAUGACCCCAGGGCGACAACCAUCUACAUGAUGCUCUUGGUGAUGAUGGCACUCGUACUGUACCUGACGCCGUUCCGGGUGGUGGCCAUGGUGAUACAGCUCUACUUCCUCCGGCCCCCGUGGUUCCAGAGCAGGACCCCGAGCAUGAUCUUCAACUUCUACCGUCGCCUGCAUUCAAACCAAGGCCUCAUGCUGUAA